GUUUGGUCGAGAUUUUUAUGAGGAGUGCUGCUAUUGCACUUUGUAAACACAGAGAGAAGUAAUAAAGUUGUCAUCUACUUUGAAAGUUCUUCGAUUUGUGCUUGCUUGGGUUCGGUGGACCAACCGGCGAGACACCACUGGUCAGACCGAUGGCAUCGGACCGGUCAGACCGAUGGAGUAACGGCGGUCAGACCGUCGGUGGCUACUAGCAACGGCGACUGAUCUCGGCAGUCAGACCAGAGCGACUACUGCGUUUAGACCGACGGCUUCCAGGUAGUUAGACCGAUGCAUCUACUCCAGUUAGACCACGUUUCAUCGAAUUGAGGGUAACUUUUAAUUCCGCUAAAAGUUUUGGUUUUUGAAUACUACAACCAUUCAUCCCCACUCUGGUUGAAUUAGUUCUUGCUGUUUGAUCCUACAAGAAAAACUAUGUUAUCUCUAUUAGUCCGGCCCUCCAUGCUCUUGAUGACCAACUACAUUCUAGUAUAUAUUUUCUUCAUUCUGCAACAUCUUGUCUCGAGCUCGGCCCCUAGCAUUCAUGGCUGUGACUAUCGACGUGGCAAGAAGGAUUACAACCGGCAAAGGCGCACGUGAGGCAAAAAGUUAAAAAAAAAGACUCGAUGCCGGCUCAAAUUGAGUCGAUGCUUCGAGUGGCUCCUCGUUGAAAAACAAAUUAAAUCAUCCACAUAUAAGAGCAGAAAGUGAAUAAAAGAUUUUGCACAAAUGCAUUGCCCAGAAUCAGCUUUUGCUCACUGCCGCUUCUGCUGUUCGUCCCAUCCCAUCCACUUUCUUGUGUUCUUGAGUCGCUUACAGAAGAUAGCCUUACCAGCGAGGUCAACCGUGUUUCGGUUUAGGUGAUAACCAAUGGAGAGGUUCGACCAUCCUGAUCGGAGCAUAUGGAUCAUCAAUGCCAAGUCUCCACAAUCGAUUUAUCGAGUACAUAACGGAAGAUUGAGACCCUAGUCCUCAUCAAGCAUUCACCUAUAGUUGCUAAAAGAUGCCAGUUCUGUAUUUUUCUAUCACGUGGAGGUGGGAAAAGAUCAAUAGGUGCCGGUUUCAAAUAAACGACACCUAUGAGCCGAGACCUAUGAGGGGUCACAUGUACUGUCCAAAGGAAAAUCAAAGGAAAGUUUCCCUAGCUAACAAAGGAAACAAUCUAUCCACUCCAAGCUCUUUUUCAUUUAGUUCGCAUGAGAUCGAGGCAAUCAAACGAUAAACAACAGCUUGUCAAACAAUAACCAUGGAAGCUAAGAAGAAGAAGCAAAAUAAAACAAAAACUGAAGAAGAAGAAGCAGCAGAAUUAUCUUGCGGUUGUUGACAAUUUUUGUAUUUAAACUCGUGCAUGGUGUGAAAUACAUAUUGUAAGACACGGACUGACAAGAAUAGUCAAAAGAAUUACAACUGUUACAUAGGAAAAAAGUUUUUCGUAGAUAAAAUGGUAAGAGGUCUCAGAUAAGAAGAAUAUGAUAUAUGCCACACACCUUCGUGGAUCUCCCACAUGCUGGGGGACAACACUCAUGAGGAGCACGGUUACCAUUUUGGUAUGAAAAUCAA